GGCAGCGGCUAACCUCCCCUGCCCGCGGGAGCUGAAAAGCUUCUGCGGGACAAGGAGCAUGUUCCGUGGGAAGGAAUAUCUGUGUACUGUGGAGCCCUCUUUCACAACCUUUUUCAAAGACUACAAGAGGAGAAACAACUAUGGCACCUGGGAGAGCCAGGGAAAGGGGAGCCGAGGCGUAACCCAGCCUUAGACCAAGUUCUAAGUGUAAGGAGAGUUUUGGUGUGUGUCUAACAGGUGUUCACCACGUGGGACUGCUGGGUGAAGAAGGCCUCUGGAGGGCUGCAGCAGGAUGCCAGGCCUUCAUCUCCUCCUACAUUCGGCAUCCCCAACAGCAGGAGUGUUUCCACCUCUCUGGAUGGGACCAGAAGGCUCGGAGGCCAGCAGGGAACGACAUAGGAGAAGAACUGAGCAGAGCCCAGACCCUCAAAGAACAGCUCCAGAAGCUCCAGGAAGAGUUUUAUCACCUGCAUUGGAGCAUAAAGGAUGUCACCGAGCGUGCUC